rnacentral:rRNA from 1 species
UUACGGUCAUAUCACGCUGAAACACUGGUUCUUGUAUGAACACUGAGAUUAAGCAACAUCAAGUCUGGUCAGUACCUUGAUGGGUGACUACUUGGGAAUACCAGGUGCUGUAAG